rnacentral:rRNA from 1 species
ACCCGCUGAAUUUAAGCAUAUAAAUAAGCGGAGGAAGAGAAACUAACCAGGAUUCCCCCAGUAACGGCGAGUGAAGCGGGAAAAGCCCAGCACCGAAUCCCCCGGCGUAACCGUCGGCGGGAACUGUGGUGUGUGGGACGCCACCUGUCGCGUUGGACGGCACCCAAGUCCUCCUGAACGAGGCCUCUCCCAGAGCGGGUGUAAGGCCUUUCGUUGGUGCCCGUCCGGCGCGGCCGCGAGCGUCUCUGGAGUCGGGUUGUUUGGGAAUGCAGCCCUAAGCGGGUGGUAAACUCCAUCUAAGGCUAAAUACCUGUGCGAGUCCGAUAGCCAACAAGUACCGUGAGGGAAAGUUGAAAAGAACUUUGAAGAAGAGGUAACGGGUGGAACCGCAAAAGUCAUGCCCGUGGGAUUCAGCCCGUUCUCCGUUCGCCCAACCGGUCGGCACCGGGGACCGUGUCCUUCUGCCCUUCGCCUCGUGUGGGGGGAUUUGUUAGGAUCGGCCCCUGUCGGCCUCACGUCCUAGGGUGGGAGACGGGUGCACUUCCCGCGGGUGGAAAGCCACGACCGGUUUCGGGGCGGCCACGAGCUCGUCGGGGAAGGUAGGCGCCAGCCGGUGUACACCCGUAUGCCGGCCGGCCCCGUUAAGCCCCUUCGAGUGGCGCCCGCCCUACUCGGGACCGAGGAACCUACCUGGCUCAGCGUCCGGCCACGGCUCACCCCGGAUCGUCGGGGCCGUACUGGGAUACCCUCCCGUUGCGGUUUUUCCGCACGCGUCUGGUGGGUCGUGCCGGGACCGGAGCUNNNNNUUUUCUUUCGAAAGGGUGGCGCACCACCGGCCCGCCCCGUCCGCGCUGUCGGUGGGGCGGAGCAGGAGCGCGUACGCCGGGACCCGAAAGAUGGUGAACUAUGCCUGAGUAGGCCGAAGCCAGAGGAAACU